CAGUAGCCACGGUAAUACGGAGGGAGCUAGCGUUAUUCGGAAUUACUGGGCGUAAAGCGCACGUAGGCGGCUUUGUAAGUUAGAGGUGAAAGCCUGGAGCUCAACUCCAGAAUUGCCUUUAAGACUGCAUCGCUUGAAUCCAGGAGAGGUGAGUGGAAUUCCGAGUGUAGAGGUGAAAUUCGUAGAUAUUCGGAAGAACACCAGUGGCGAGGGCGGCUCACUGGACUGGUAUUGACGCUGAGGUGCGAAAGCGUGGGGAGCAAACAGGAUUAGAUACCCCCGUAGUCCCUGUCUCUUAUAC
rnacentral:rRNA from 1 species